UUAAAGCCUAGUCUCCUGGAUAGGGUCUCCUUUUUGCCAGCUCGAAAAAAAUCUCACACAUCUCUUCACUUGGUCUUUACCUGUAGCACAAGACUUCCCAGAUUUAAAAAUCCAUCCUCCUGCGAGGAGAGGGGAGCGAUCAGCGUAGCAGAUUCUCUAAAUACUCAUUGUAUUUGGCUCUGGUCUGUGUGGCGUGAAGAAGGGGGCACGAGUGAGGUUCGAGUUAGCAUGGUAACCAUUCUUUCUCAGCUCUGUGACUGAGGGGCUGCGGGAGGGGGUUAUAGUGGUGCUGGGCAUGGCCUCGGGGAGAAGCUGGAUAAUGCCCUCUGCAGAUAACCCGUAGGCUGCGCCACAGCAGCGCCAAGGAAAGAAAGCAUCUCUGCUCCAGGUCUCGGCGGAAGAGAUGCGGGAACUACGGGGCUCUGAUUCUGAGGUCCUGGAUUUGGAAGGCGUCUGCACACAAAGAAAUAACAAAGUUAAGUUCCCGCGGCUCGACCAGCAGAGUACGAAACGGGGCCUCCCUUCCCAGCUCGGGUGGAAACGCCUCCACCCUGUCACCCCGCCCAUAGCAGGUCUUUUAUCCGCUGGAGCCGCC
rnacentral:lncRNA from 1 species